rnacentral:tRNA from 1 species
GGCCUAUAGCUCAGUGGUAGAGCACUUGCCUCACACGUUUGAGGCACUGGGUUUGAGCCUCAGCACCA